rnacentral:rRNA from 1 species
UUCGUAGGCGGUGCGGCAAGUCGGGAGUGAAAUCCUCUGGGCUUAACUCAGAGGCUGCUUCCGAAACUGCCGUGCUCGAGUGUGGGAGAGGCGCGUGGAAUUGCAGGUGUAGCGGUGAAAUGCGUAGAUAUCUGCAGGAACACCCGUGGCGAAAGCGGCGCGCUGGACCACAACUGACGCUGAGGAACGAAAGCUAGGGGAGCAAACAGGAUUAGAUACCCUGGUAGUCCUAGCCCUAAACGAUCAGGACUUGGGGUGCCGCCCGUUCGGGCGUCGUCCCGGAGCUAACGCGUUAAGUCCUGCACCUGGGGAGUACGGUCGCAAGACUGAA